AUAUUUUUGUUGCAGCAACCUAAUAGGAAUUCAAGACAAAUCCAAAAGAAAGCAGAAAAAUCACUUUAAUAUCUGAUACGUCCUCUAUACAAGGGCUACAUAUUAAAUAGAUUUUUAAAACAGGGAGACGGAAUAGGGGCUUGCUCCGUCCACUCCACGCAUCGACCUGGUAUUGCAGUACUUCCGGGAACGGUGCACCUCCU
ensembl:snRNA U2 U2 spliceosomal RNA